GAUGAACGCUGGCGGCGUGCUUAACACAUGCAAGUCGAACGAGUGGCGAACGGGUGAGUAACACGUGGGUGAUCUCCCUUGUACUUCGUGAUAAGCCUGGGAAACUGGGUCUAAUACCGGAUAGUACGAGAUGAGCCCGCGGCCUAUCAGCUUGUUGGGGGGGUAAUGGCUACCAAGGCGCGACGGGUAGCCGGCCUGAGAGGGUGUUCGGCCACAUUGGGACUGAGACACGGCCCAGACUCCUACGGGAGGCAGCAGUGGGGAAUAUUGCACAAUGGGCGGAAGCCUGAUGCAGCGAUGCCGCGUGAGGGAUGACGGCCUUCGGGUUGUAAAGCACUUUUGGCAGGAAGACGGUACCUGCAGAAUAAGCACCGGCUAACUACGUGCCAGCCGCCGCGGUAAUUC
rnacentral:rRNA from 1 species